rnacentral:rRNA from 1 species
GACGAACGCUGGCGGCGUGCCUAACACAUGCAAGUCGAACGGAAAGGCCCUGCUUUUGUGGGGUGCUCGAGUGACGAACGGGUGAGUAACACGUGAGUAACCUGCCCUUGACUUUGGGAUAACUUCAGGAAACUGGGGCUAAUACCGGAUAGGAGCUCCUGCUGCAUGGUGGGGGUUGGAAAGUUUCGGCGGUUGGGGAUGGACUCGCGGCUUAUCAGCUUGUUGGUGGGGUAGUGGCUUACCAAGGCUUUGACGGGUAGCCGGCCUGAGAGGGUGACCGGCCACAUUGGGACUGAGAUACGGCCCAGACUCCUACGGGAGGCAGCAGUGGGGAAUAUUGCACAAUGGGCGGAAGCCUGAUGCAGCAACGCCGCGUGCGGGAUGACGGCCUUCGGGUUGUAAACCGCUUUCGCCUGUGACGAAGCGUGAGUGACGGUAAUGGGUAAAGAAGCACCGGCUAACUACGUG